rnacentral:ncRNA from 1 species
GCAAAGUAGGAACAGACGCGUUAAGUGAGAAAGGAACGGGAAGUUGUCCUUUCUACGAAAAGCGAUUUUCGCUUGCGGUGUUUGUUCCGCAUUCCGUUG